rnacentral:rRNA from 1 species
UACGUAGGGGGCGAGCGUUGUCCGGAUUCAUUGGGCGUAAAGCGCUUUAAGGCGGUUCGCUAAGUCGGGUGUGAAACCUCCAGGCUCAACCUGGAGACGCCACUCGAUACUGGCGUGACUAGAGUUCGGUAGGGGACCACGGAAUUCCUGGUGUAGCGGUGAAAUGCGCAGAUAUCAGGAAGAACACCCGUGGCUAAGGCGGUUCUCUAGUACGGUAUUGACGCUGAGACGCGAAAGCGUGGGGAGCGAACAGG